rnacentral:lncRNA from 1 species
CGGGUAUAAUGUCCUUUCUUAGUUGCAUCUUCCUUUCUAUUCUAUGCAUAAUGAACAACAAUAAGCAUUAAAAAAGUAAACUGUAAUAAAUAAAAAGUAUUUUUCAUAUCAUGUCAGCAGCUACAAAAAUCAAUUAUACUGCCCCAAUCUGGUGAAAAAUAUAAAAAUAUAUUGACAAUAUAAGAUGAUUAAAGAAAACAAUAUGAAAUGGUUUGAGAAUGAAACAAACAUAAUAAACUAAACAUGAUAAACUAAUAAAAAUAAAUCAUUAUAAAUACUUCAUUUAAUAUUUGACUUUAUUUAAAAUUUUCAUUUGUUAAAUAGUUUAGAAUUUUACAUAAUAAAUAAUAAUAGACUAAUAUCACCCUUCAAUCUCACACCAUCAAGAAACGUUUGUACAAACAGAAGAACCGAGUUGCUAAAUUGUUAACGACAAAGAACAUAAUGUAAAAGUAAUGUUGGCAUUAUACCUUCCUUGAUCCUCCAAACAUGAGACAACCACAACUUUUUUUACAUUUCCAGGGCCGAAUAUGGACAGGGCAAUCUUGGAACUUAUGUUUUCAUACCUUGAUUUCCGUUGCACAUUUCUUACGUUCUCAAACCUGAAAAAAUAAUGAAGAUAAACAUCAACCAUUCAACAAAAGAAUGAAAAACAACCGUUAAUUUAACCUGUAAGUUCUACAAGCUUUGUGUAAUUUUCAUCAUCAUAUAACACUUUCCGUCCCAACUGCCUAUAGAUAUUAAAACCGGUUCCCUUCAACAUAACCGAGGCAUAUGAAAACAAAAUAUAUAUCGGUUCAUACAAAAAACCGGGUUGUAAUAGACUUUUACCCUUUUUCCGUAAUAGGUUUAGAACUUGGUUUCUAGAUUAGAAACCGGUUCCUUUUAACCCUUUUAUAUUUUUUUAAUAUCAUUUUAUAAAAAUAAGAGUACAAUAAUUAUAGACUAUCAAUUUAUAACACAUAUUAUACAUAUAAACAGGUCUAAUGACCAUAUUCAUGUAUACACAUAACAAAAUAAACACACAAAUAAAAAGUUAAAAGGUUAAAAACAUUCAUGCCACAGCCGAUGAAGUAUGAAGAUGAAGUGUGUUGCAUAAUGCAUAUGUCGAUAGUACUGAAAAGAAAAGGUGAAGUCUCGUUCAAGAUUAGGGCAAUCAAUCGGAAAAAGAAAAGAAAAAUAAUACUAACUAAUAAAUAAAAUAAGAAAUGUGAAACAUUGUUUUUUAACCUAAACAUUGAACAAGGUACCCUGCAAAAUUUAUAUAUAUAUAUAUAGUUAAAUCAACUAAGUUUACAAUACCGAAGCAUAUCUAACGUAAAUUCAGCUUCCACGCAUGUUCAUGCAGUUAUGCCUAAUAAUCACUCAAGUGUUUGACCAUUUUUUAGUUUACUUUAGCCCACGUUCAAGCAAGAUUAAGCAGUUUACCAAAAACACCCUCAACCAAGUUAGCAGAAGCUGGUCAAGUCAGACUUUCUCUCUUUAAAAUUCAAGGGCAUAAUCGUCUAUUCAUACACCCAAUGUAGAAUUCAAGUUAGGCUCACAAUCACCAACUUAUAGUCAAC